CUGUGGGUGACAGUUGGCUUCAGUUGAGAGGCUGAUAACCACAGGUCUUCCAUGCUGGUUUCUGGUGACAAUACCGGAUUUAUCUACAGUGAUCAGCUGCAAGAUCCAAAUUCAGAAUAGGAGAUGAUGAGGAUACAGAAUCAACUUGUGAGUGUGAGUGCAUCACCAGUAGUAUUUCAUUGAUGUGUGAUAGCUCUUCCUCUGGGGCUAUAGACCAAAAAGGAACAAAUAAAGCACAUAGGCAAC